AAGUCGAACGAAAUCUUCGGAUUUAGUGGCGCACGGGUGAGUAACAUGUGGGAAUCUACCUAAAGGUUCGGAAUAACUGCGGGAAACUGUAGCUAAUACCGGAUGUGUCUGCAAAGAGAAAGAUUUAUCGCCUUUAGAUGAGCCCGCACUAGAUUAGCUAGUUGGUGAGGUAACUGCUCCACCAAGGCUACGAUCUAUAGCUGAUUUGAGAGGAUGAUCAGCCACACUGGGACUGAGACACGGCCCAGACUCCUACGGGAGGCAGCAGUAGGGAAUAUUGGACAAUGGGGGAAACCCUGGUCCAGCAAUGCCGCGUGAGUGAAGAAGGCCCUCGGGUUGUAAAACUCUUUCAUCAAUGAUGAUAAUGACAUUAGUUGAAGAAGAAGCUCCGGCUAACUUCGUGCCAGCAGCCGCGGUAAUACGAAGGGGGCUAGCGUUGUUCGGAAUCACUGGGCGUAAAGCGUAUGUAGGCGGAUCAAAAAGUUAGAUGUGAAAUCCCUGGGCUCAACCCAGGAACUGCAUUUAAAACUAGUGAUCUAGAAUUUGGUAAAGGUUAGUAGAAUUUCCCAGUGUAGAGGUGAAAUUCGUAGAUAUUGGGAAGAAUACCAGAAAGCGAGGGCGACUAACUAAGCCAUUUUUGACGCUGAGAUACGAAAGCGUGGGUAGCAAACAGGAUUAGAUACCCUGGGUAGUCCACGGCAGUAAACGAUGAGUGCAAGUCGCUGGGACAAUAGUUUCAGUGUCGUAGCUAACGCAUUAAGCACUCCGCCUGGGAA
rnacentral:rRNA from 1 species